ACUCCUCCCCCUCCCGACCUGGCGGCCGCCUCCCUCUCUUAUCUCGCUCCCCGCUCUCCAGGGUCUCCUCGCUCUUCAUUCCUCUCGCGGCCUCCUCCCCUUUCCCUCACUCACCCUCUUUCCAAUUGAGGGAUCACAGACUCACUCCGGUUCUGCCAGGGGGACGACCCCCACCCCUCGCAAAACUCGACCACCUCUGACUUCAUGAAAUAUUCUUUCUGUUUGCCCCCCGCAGCAAGCCCCGCGUCCCAUCCCAGGACCCAGCCCCGCCCCUCCGCGCCCCCUUCCUCCUCCUGGCCCGCCGGGCCGAGUGGUGCUGCUGCGGGUGCGGCUGCUCGGAGCCUCCCUGGCCGCCCUCCCCAGGGCCGAUACUGACUCCAUCUGUCAACUUCGUUUAGACUUUGCCGCCCUCAGCCACACGCCGGGGUGCCAGACGCCCAAAGGGUGCUCAUCCAGGCCUUAAAAGUUGGCAGCAUCCCCCAGGAACUACCCUGUGAACAAAUCCAGGCUUUCGGAAGCACGUGAUUCUGCAGAAAUGCCACAUUCUCUUCCACAUGGGCUGUGGGCUCUGAGUCCCCCUUUGCUUCCUCGGCCUAUGUACCUGCUGAAGAAGACAGUUGUGUCGUGUACAUGCAACCUAAGGAGGUAACCUUUUACCCAGCCUGAGACUUCAGAGGGUAUUCAUAUUGGGGACCAGCAGCCCGUGAUGUUUGUCCCCCAGAGAGGGGGAGAGAGCUGCUGCCUGCAGAGUGGCUGCUCCUGCUUUGCACGGCCCCUGGCUUCUGCAUCCCUCCAUCCUCCAGCUGGGCACAGAGGUUGCCAAAAGGGCCAGUAGGAGGAGAAGGCUUCAUGGAGGACGGGGGCAAGAGCGGGCCGACCAUGCUGGCUUCCUCGCCUUGUGUCUGGCUGACUGCACAGGCCUGAGGAGGUAACCAACAGCAGAAACAGCUCUGGACAAAUGAGCAAAGGAAGACUCGACUGAGUUUCCCCAGAAUGGAGAGGAGCUGAGGAAGCUCCAGGGCCCACAGCGGAAGCUGGUGGACCAUUUCACUAGGACCCUGGGAGCAAAUCAGUCUGACUUGUGUUUGGCCCCUGAAUCCCCCUGCUCAAGGCUCAGAGUCCUGGAGAAUUGAGGGCAACCCCCACAUUGCAUGCCAUGGAUGGUGGCUUCCCCAGGGGAGUCGGGGUGCUAGGACUAGAGCAUGCCUCCUACAAAUGUUGACUUCCCCAGAAAAAUACCAGCUCUCUUAAGUAAGGGUGGGUCUAUCUGUGGGGAUGAUAGGGUCACCCUUAUUAUUCAUACGUUCCCUGGGCCUGAGAACUUACCUGGAAUACACUUUGUUAAAUAGUAA